UCUUUUGUGCAAAGGGUGCGAAGCCAAACCUUAGUCCUCAGUAAAGAAUUAAACGCGAUUCCGCGAGGUGCCCCCUUUAGAAAUUACAUUGCGGGACACUGUAGUGUAUAUAUAUGUAUAUUGUACAGAUUCUAUUUUUGUACUGUUGAAAACGGAAUAAAUGACUUUUUUACGACAAAUUCGAUUGACUGAAAGUGACAAUACGGUCCCGACUGUUCGCGAAGAAACGAAAAACAGAUCGAUAUAGUAGAAAGUUAAAUUUUUUUUGUACACGGAUUAGGUAGGUUCAACAGAAUCCAACAUUACCGAUGGGUAGAACAGAUAUGUCAAAAACGCUGAACGCUUAUAGAAUCAAAAAAAUAGAAAAUAUUGGUAGAAUGACGGCCAUGACGCAGGAAGAAAUUAUGGCUGGUGCCAGAAUUGUGGCCCAGGGUCUGGAAGCUCUCCGUGUAGAACAUGGAGGACUUCUUCAAGCCUUGCAGACCCAAGAUGCGCCAGUCGCAAGAGACAAAGCUAGUUUAUUAUCAAAGAAUAUCGAGAUGAUAGAAUUAGGCCUUGGAGAGGCACAAGUUAUGAUGGCUCUUGCAAAUCACUUACAAAUGGUAGAGGCUGAGAAACAAAAGCUUAGAACACAAGUAAGAAGGUUGUGCCAAGAAAAUGCCUGGUUAAGAGAUGAAUUGGCUGGUACACAGCAAAAAUUGCAAGCCAGUGAACAAGCACUAGUCCAGUUGGAAGAACAAAAGAAACAUUUAGAUUUUAUGGAAAGCAUGAAACAGUACGAUCCUGAUCCUUCCGCGGAUGAUGAAAAUGCUAAAGACAGACCGCCAGAUGAUCCUGUGGUUGAUCUAUUCCCCGAUGAUGAUGCGGACGACCGAAAUAGUAAGUCAAUAUCACCGACACCGCCUUCACAAUUUGCACAACAAGUGAAUGCUGGAUACGAGAUACCUGCACGUUUGCGUACGCUGCACAAUUUGGUUAUACAGUACGCGAGCCAAGGCCGCUAUGAAGUAGCUGUUCCCUUAUGCAAGCAAGCAUUGGAGGAUUUGGAAAAAACUUCUGGUCAUGAUCAUCCUGAUGUUGCCACAAUGUUGAACAUUCUUGCUUUAGUAUAUAGAGAUCAAAAUAAAUAUAAAGAAGCGGCGAAUUUGUUGAACGAUGCCUUGGCUAUUCGUGAAAAAACGCUCGGUGAAAAUCAUCCUGCAGUCGCUGCUACGUUGAAUAACUUGGCUGUUUUAUAUGGGAAACGGGGCAAAUAUAAAGAGGCUGAGCCAUUGUGCAAACGUGCUCUCGAUAUUCGAGAGAAGGUUCUCGGUCGUGAUCAUCCUGAUGUCGCGAAGCAAUUGAAUAAUCUUGCGUUGCUGUGUCAGAAUCAGGGUAAAUACGAAGAGGUAGAACGCUAUUACUUGCGAGCGCUAGAAAUUUAUGAAGGUAAACUGGGACCGGAUGAUCCUAAUGUUGCAAAGACGAAAAAUAAUCUGGCAUCGUGUUACUUGAAGCAAGGAAAAUACAAAGAUGCUGAAGUUUUGUAUAAACAAGUAUUGACUAGAGCACACGAAAAAGAAUUUGGUGCUAUUGCCGGUGAUAACAAACCAAUUUGGCAGGUUGCGGAAGAAAGAGAAGAAAAUAAGCAUAGAAAUAAAGAGAAUACUCCGUAUGGAGAAUACGGAGGUUGGCAUAAAGCUGCUAAAGUGGAUUCUCCUACAGUCACAACUACCCUAAAAAAUCUUGGUGCAUUAUAUCGAAGACAAGGAAAAUACGAGGCUGCAGAAACAUUAGAAGAUUGUGCUCUUAGGUCACGAAAAGAGACAUUGGAGUUCGUGAAGCAAGGAAAAGUUGCGCAGCUUUUAGGAGAAGAGAAGGGAUCGACGAGACGCGGCUCGCGAUCCAGUUUAGCCAAUAGCGAACACGAGCAACACGACGAGGGCUCGCUGCCGCUGGUACAAAGGGCGCUACAUGAAGGACAGUCUGGCCACAACGACGCUAGUCCUAACAAACCCGGUUUUAAAAACAAGAUCUUUCAAGCUUUCGGGAUUCAUUCUUCCACGUAGGAUAUUCUUCGUUUGUAGUAUUGCCUGUUCGAUUAAUGCCCGGUCGCACGAUAAUUUUAAAAAAUGCGUAAAAUUGUUUGGGAGAAGUUACAUUUAGGUAUUUGUUCUUAAAUUCCGCAAUGGUACGAUCAAAAUACGGUUGAGGAAUUCGCGAUCUUUUACAAACUGUCUUGAAUGAUUCUUCUUAAAUGCAAGCAUUUAUAGGAAUUUAUAAUUUUUUGAACGUAGGUAGGUACACAGACCUUCGGCAAAUUUUUGGGCAUUUGAUAUACUAUUUUUUCUCAGCCAGAUAUCCCUUAACAAUGAUGAAAACACAUCAUAAUAAUUGCACAUUCUAUUAUUACUUUUUAUUGAUAUAUAAGGAUUUAGAUAACCGUUUGUUGCUAUUUCCAUUUAUUAUUUCUUUUUUUUUAGGAAAAUAUCGCGUA
rnacentral:lncRNA from 1 species